rnacentral:tRNA from 1 species
AUAGGUAUGAUGAAAAUGGUAUACAUGCUAGAUUUAGAUUCUAGUGGCUAAAAAGUCUUAAGGGUUCGAGUCCCUUUACCUAUA